rnacentral:rRNA from 1 species
GACGAACGCUGGCGGCGUGCUUAACACAUGCAAGUCGAACGGAAAGGCCCUGCUUGCAGGGUACUCGAGUGGCGAACGGGUGAGUAAGACGUGGGUGAUCUGCCCUGCACUUCGGGAUAAGCCAGGGAAAGUGGGUCGAAUAACGGACAGGAGCCAUUUUUAGUGUGAUGGUUGGAAAGUUAUGUCGGUGUAGGAUGAGCUCGCGGCCUAGCAGCUUGCUGGUGGGGUAAUGGCGUACCAAGCCGGCGGCGUGUAGCCGCACUGAGAGGGUGGACGGCCACCUUGAGACUGAGAUGAGGCACCGGCACCUACUCUUCGGCGAUGUGCGGAAUCCUGCCCGAUGGGCGCCGGCCUGAUGCUGCGGCUCUGCGUGUCGUAUGACGCUCUUAUGGUUGUAGACUCCAUUCGCUAGGGACGAAGCUUUUUGUGACGGUACCUAGACAAGAAGCCCCGGCUAACUACGUG